AACGAACGCUGGCGGCAUGCCUAACACAUGCAAGUCGAACGAGACCUUCGGGUCUAGUGGCGCACGGGUGCGUAACGCGUGGGAAUCUGCCCAAAGGUUCGGAGUAACUCGGGGAAACCCGUGCUAAUACCGGAUAAUGUCUUCGGACCAAAGAUUUAUUGCCUUUGGAUGAGCCCGCGUCGGAUUAGCUAGUUGGUGAGGUAAAAGCUCACCAAGGCGACGAUCCGUAGCUGGUCUGAGAGGAUGAUCAGCCACACUGGGACUGAGACACGGCCCAGACUCCUACGGGAGGCAGCAGUGGGGAAUAUUGGACAAUGGGCGAAAGCCUGAUCCAGCAAUGCCGCGUGAGUGAUGAAGGCCUUAGGGUUGUAAAGCUCUUUUACCCGGGAUGAUAAUGACAGUACCGGGAGAAUAAGCUCCGGCUAACUCCGUGCCAGCCGCCGCUGUAAAAC
rnacentral:rRNA from 1 species